rnacentral:tRNA from 1 species
GGCUUCGUAGCUCAGCUGGUAGAGCCCUCGCCGCGUAGUGGCAUGGCGUUUUUGUCGCUGGUUCGAGUCCAGCCGAAGCCC